rnacentral:rRNA from 1 species
UACGGAGGGUGCAAUCGUUGUUCGGAAUCAUUGGGCGUAAAGCGCGUGUAGGCGGCCUGGUAAGUCGGGUGUGAAAUCCCGGGGCUCAACCCCGGAACUGCACUCGAAACUGCCUCGCUAGAGUCUCGGAGAGGAAGGCGGAAUUCCCGGUGUAGAGGUGAAAUUCGUAGAUAUCGGGAGGAACACCAGCGGCGAAGGCGGCCUUCUGGACGGUGACUGACGCUGAGACGCGAAAGCGUGGGGAGCAAACAGG